AGUAAGUGCUCAGAGUUAGCCCUUAUGGUUAUUUGAGGCUGUCUCUUAGGUUUCCUCAAACUUCUGGGAAUCCUGGAAUGUGGACUGCACUCGGUGAGGAACGAGAGGAAGGUCGGUUGGGUGGUGUGGGUUUCCUCCACACGUAUCCAUUUUCUCUUUCUCUCCAGUAGAGGAAGAGCAGGGACCCUAAGGGUCAGUGAGAGGGAGAUGCAGGUGCUGGCUUCAUGGGAUGACCUUGGCAGGCACACUGGCACCAUUUUGAUAGACUAGAUGACAUUGUACUACCCUGUCAGCUAGGCUCAUUCCUACCUUGAAUUCUUGGGCAGAGCUGCUUUCAUUUUUCUCUUCCCCUCCUAAUAAUCCCUGCCAUAUACUUGUCUCUUACGGAGGUUAAGACUUUCCAGGGCUCUGCUCUAUUUCUCUCUCUACCUGGGAAGGGCUUCAGGGAGGGAUCACUUCCCCAUUUACAACUUGGAUUCACUUCCUCAUUCACCAAACAUGUAUUGAACACCCUUGCUAGUCCCAAUUCUAGGCACCGAUGAUGUAAUAAUAAGAGAAUUGGUUCUACCCUCGUAGAACUGCUGGUCAAGUGGGCAGGGGAGACAGACAGUAAACAAAGGCAGAAACCUCAGAGAAGGAUGCUCUCGACUCUGCUUCGAUCUGAUGCUUUAUUCUGAGUCAUGGUAGAAAUUCAGUGAAGGAGGGAUUAGUGUUUUUUUUUUUUUCCCUGUGAGGACCAGAUAAGCAGAACAAAGGUGCAAUUGGAUGACACCUGCUCCAAGCAAGAAGUAAGGUUUUUGAGCUUCACCUCCAAUGAGAACAUUUCCUGAGUUCCUUGAAAGGCUGGAGAGCUAUCCUAAGCUAGUGGCUCUCCUCAUGGUCCCUGGAAAACUGCUAUCCCUCUGGACAUCACACUUGAGUUCCAGUAAGGAAGAAGAACACAGGGCUAUGCAUGAAAAGUCACACUAGGUGAAAUGUAAAGUGAACUGUUGGAAGCUACUUUUGAGUGAGUGAAGCUAUGCGGCAUUUUCCCCACUUCUCUGACCUGGAUGUAGCAAAAGUUUGCAGAUGACAUUCUAUUGGUCAAUGGGUUUUCACAAGAUUCAGACAAUCUGCCAAGGAAGCUGUGAGUUAUAUUCAGAGUGGUUCACAGAACACAUAUAGUUUUGUACCUUCAGACACCAGGUAAAUGUUUUCCUAUAAAUGAAUGAUUUUGAUUGACUUUACAGCACUUCCAAAGAUGCUCAGUGGAAAAGAAUCUGCCUGCAAUGCAGGAGAUGUGGGUUUGAUCAGGAAGAUCCCCUGGAAGACAAAAUGGCAACCCACUCCGAUAUACUUGCCUGGAAAAUCCCACGGCCAGAGGAGCCUGGUGGGCUACAGUCCAUGUGGUCACAAAGAGCUGGGCAUGACGGAGGAACUCAGCAUGCACACACAGUGCUUCUCCGGUCACUUUCUGUUAUCCACGCUAAUGCAUAUUUCUUCUGCCUGUUCUCCUCUUUCUCACCACUACACAAACACACACACACACACACACACACACACACACACACACACACACACACACACACACAGACUGUGCUCUGCAAAGGGCUAGAGUUCUACGGAGGAUCCUAAGGGGCAGUUAUGGGCUCUAAACCAUCCAGGUGAAUAGGCUCCAGGCCUUUAGCUGGAUAUAAGUGAUACAAAUAGCAAAUGCUAUACAUGUUUAUGGGCUUUCCAGGUGUCACUAGUGGUAAAGAAGCUGCCUGCCAAAGCAGAUGACUUAAGAGAUGCAGCUUCAAUCCCUGGGUUGGAAAGAUCCCCUGGAGGAGGCUAUGGCAACACACUCCAGUAUUCUUGCCUGGAGAAGCCCAUGGACAGAGGAGCCUGGUGGGCUACAGUCCAUAGGGUUACAAAGAGUCGGACAUAACUGAAGUGACUUAACACAUAUACAUAUGUGUUUAUAGAGAAGAGUCCUUCCUGAAGGUUGGUGUUGUCAGACAAAGACUUUUGAAGGAGAUAGGGCUAGUUCUUGUGCUGGGACAUCAAGGAUGAAGAGGAUUCCAAAGUGGAAACGAGAUUAUGUGGCAUAGAAAAUUAGAACAAAGGAAGAAACAUGUGCUUGGGAGGGAGAUCUUUGAGUUGAUUUAGCUGGUCAUACAGAGGGCUCUGAUCAAACUGGAGAAAGAGGCUGAGGGGCCCACUGCAUUCCUUUAGUGGGAUAUUCUGGAAUUGCACAUGGCAAUUCUAUUUGCAGCUCACCCUCUCCAGACAAAACUGACAGGGGAAGCUGGAAAAUGAGUUUUAGAUUAGAACUUGUACUUUUAGUUGAUUUCGAUACUGAGCAAUAAGGGAAGACUUGUUGCGAAUCAACUAUAGUGUCUGCUCUAGUCCAGCCCGAGGACCACCUUGUUAUUGCACUUGGCUGUUAUGAUUAUGAAGGAUCCAGCUGUGCUGCUUCUGAUAUUAGAGCUGGCCUUCUCAACGUAACAGGCAGAUUAUCCUUCCAAAACUCACAGCUUUGAGCCAAGGAUCUAACACUUAGAGACACUCUCUUGGCCUUUCUGAGCCUCUGAGUCUUGAAGCUUCUUGUUCUGCAUCAGUGAAAUGAAGCAGAUGUUUUGAAAAUUCUUCAGCACCUGUUCCAGAUCUCUUGUAAUGGUACUUGUCCCUUUUCUUAAACCAUAAGAUGUUUUAGGACAAAGACUACAACCCUUUCCUCAGGCUUGGUGGUAUUUCAUGUGGAGAGAUACUCAGGAAAGCAAUUUCAAUAUAUUCUGGUUGGUUAAAAGUCUAGAUGAACGAGUGGAUGAAUGGGCAAGCCAGAUGUGUGUUGUCUACUCUCUCUGUUUUAGUUCUUCAUUUAUAUAGAGGCAGAAUUGAGCUUCUCAUUGAGUUUCCUAACAAGCAUCCAUUUAUGCAAAAAGCUCUAAUAAGCAAAGUAAGUUCUAUAAAGGGUUUAUGGGAGUGUCAAAGCAGGGAGCUUGGAUCACAUGCUUGACAGCCAGUGGCUUCAGAACUCAUAAGGAUAUUUCUAGUCUUCAAAGUCGUUGCUUGGCUGUACCAGGGUGGUAUGUACCAGGGUGGUAUGUCCCCUGUCCCUACCUUGCUAUUGCUCCAAGCAGGUCCAGCUUUUCUGGCUCGUCUUUUACCUUUUACUUGGGCUUCCAUCCCCAAACUACCUCCAGAGCAAGACGGCAGAACAAAACAGCAAAAAAGAACUGCAACUUUCUUCCAACUAAAUAAAUCAGUUAGUGAAUUAUCCCUGCAACAUGUUAUUUUUCCAAGCAAAAUGGAGGGCCAAGUUCACAGAGACACUUUAUUUAAAAGGCAGGUGGGGUUAUAAACAUUUUAUUUCUGUUACACUCUAGUGGAUAAAGAGAUAAAGAUGAGGUAAUGGAAAGGAGAGCAAGGAUGUGUUAGCCAUUUUUAACAGUUGACAUUUACUGACUGAACACUGUACACCAGGCUUAAUCAUCUAAAAUGUAUUAUUAUCCUCCUCCUGUGCAUACAAAAUACAGUGGUAUCAGAGCAGUUUGGACUUGUUCAAGAUGAUAGAUUGUAUUUGCCAUAAAAGGAAUUAAGCCCAGAGCCAUCUGAUUCCAGUGCUUAUCCUUUCCUUCCUCAAAAUAUUGCUUUGCUGCCUUCUGUAUGAGUUUAUUCCAUAAUCAGGGCAGCCAUCUCUCCGAAUGCCUGACUUCCCCAGGUAAAGAAAGGGCACCCAGAAGCAGCUAAUUAUACCUGAGCAGCUAUAGUUGCCACCAAAUUACUCACACUGUCUUGGCUUAUGCUUCACCAAUGAUCCCCUACAGGACUCUGUAAUCUGAUAACAAUCAGAAACUCAGCAAAGCGCUUAUCAGCUAUUUCACAAUGACAAAUGUUUGCCAGCAGAGCAGAUGAAAAGGAAGAUCACAGAGGCGGUUCUUUAUGUGGGAAAGGUAGAGAAAGCAUUCUGUUUAGGGGAGGUGAUUUCAACAACUGGGAUAACUAUAAUCCGGCAAAAGAGAAAAAUAAGAACUGCUGUGAGUGGAGAGCUUUUCUUCUGUUUUGUCAAAAUUAUCACAGGCAAAGUUCAUCCAGCAGUAGAGAAAGAUUAACACAAAAGUCUGCGUGUGUGCAUGCUUGGCCAUUUCUGACUGUUUGCGUCAGACAUGGACUGUAGCAGGCAAGACUCCUGUGUCCAUGGAUUUUCCAGGCAAGAGUACAGGAGAGGAUUGCCAUUGACUCCUCCAGAGGAUCUUUCUGACCCAGGGGUUGAACCCAAGUCUCCUGCAUUGGCAGGCAGAUUCUUUACCACUGCACCACCUAGGAAAUUAAACUAGUAUUAAUGUAGAAGGCUCUUGUGGCUGCUUGGAACUACUUAAAUUUAAUUCAUGAUAUUUAGAUAAAAAAUGUAGAUCCUCAGUCACACUAGGCACAUUUCAAAGGCUCAGCAGCCAUACUACUGGUGGUUACUGCUUUGGACAGCUCGGUUAUGUACUAAUCCCAUCAUUGCAGGAGAUUCUAUUGGACAAGGUCUCCUUGGACUGCAAGGAGAUCAAACUAGUCAGUCCUAAAGGAAAUUAUCCUGAAUAUUCAUUGGAAAGACUGAUGCUGAAACUGAAGCUCCAAUACUUGGGCCAGGUGAUGAGAAGAGCUGACUCAUUGCAAAAGACCCUGAUGCUGGGAAUGGAGGCAGGGGAAGGGACGACAGAAGACAAGAUGGUUGGAUGGCAUCACCAACUCAAUGGAUAUGAGUUUGAACAAGCUCCGGUAGGUGGUGACGAACAGGGAAGCCUGGCGUGCUACAGUCCACAGGGUCAAAAACAGCUGGACAUGACUGAGCGGCUGAACAACAACAACUACUGAACAACCCUUGUCCAAAGCAUAAAGCACUGCGAAUAAAGGAAACUGCUGAUGAUGGUGCAGAGCUAAUCAGUAGAGGGAAGAUUUGCUGAGCAGUGAAUAGGAUUUAAGUCCUGGAAUUGCUCCGCUUCACCCAUCCUUACAUGGCAUUGUC
ensembl:lncRNA